AUGGCCAGUGUGCAAGAAAGAAAAUACGGCCACGUAGGUACAUACGGGCGGGGUCUCGAACGCCUACUUAUGCAUACGUACGGCCAGGGCUCGUGUACAUGGCUGGAUCGGAACGGAGAAACAACGUCGUCGUCGUGUUCAUGGGGAGCCAACCGGCUGGGUCGAAACGGAAUGCGUCGUCAUGUUCAUCGGGUGGGCUUGGACGGAAUAGCUGAUGGAAACGAGGCCUGGUGUACCGCAGAACGGAGGAAACAGCCUUGUUCGACCGACCACGUUCAAAACGGGAUCCUGUUCAUCGGGAGGGGUCUGGCGUACCGCAAAAUGAAGGAAACGGACUUGUGUUGGACCUCCUACGAUCGAAACGGGGUCCUAUUGAUCGGGAGGGGUGUGGCGUACCGCAAAACGGAGGAAACGGACUUGUUUUGGAGCGCUACGGUCGAAACGGGGGUCCUGUUCAUCGGGAGGGGUGUGGCGUACCGCAAAACGGGACUCCACGGGAUACUGGUCAUCUUCACUGUCGACCCCCUCUAG
rnacentral:rRNA from 1 species